rnacentral:lncRNA from 1 species
CUACAUGGACAUCAAGAAGUCUAUGCUUUAAUGGUUCUGUCAGGUCUGAUGUGUGACUCUUUAUUCUUCCAACCGAGAUUGGCUACAUGGACAUCAAGAAGUCUAUACCUUAACAAAUCGCUUGUUUACGAGAACUAGUUAAUGGUAUGAUUAAAUGGAUGAUAAGUAGGAUGAUAGGUAAGAUUUUUUUCCUUAGUCAUUAUACCAAGAGGAAAUAGUACUAUCAAAAGAGAAUGGAAGGAGUAGUAAUUUGGAAACCCA